CUCCGGCGGGUCGCGCGCGCGGGCUGGGGGCCGAUCCCGGUCCCCGCAGGCGAGGCAGCCCGCUUCGCAGCCGCUCCUUGGCGCCCUAAAACAAGUAGCCCCAACGUGAGAGAAACAAAAGUUGCUCUAGGAGAAGCCAGCUGCCUGAAGAUACUCAGGCAGCCAUGUGGAGAUGAAUUGUGGCUUUCUGCCAACAGCCAUAUGAGUGAGCCAUCUUGGAAUCAUCCUCCAGCCCCAGACAAGCCUUCAGCUGACUGUCGCCCCAGCUAACAGCUUGACUGAAACCUCACGAGAAACUCUGAGCCAGAACCAAUCAGCUAAGCUGCUCCCUGAUUCCCGACCCUCAGAAACCUUGUGAAGUCCCACUCAAAAUUGGCAGUCCUUUGGGUUACUUGGUAAAUGGAUCAGAGCAGGACCACAAUGUGCUACACGUUGCCUCUGAAAUUCAUACUCCUACAAGUGUGCUUCCUAAUGGUCCUAUUGCUACGAUGUCAUCAUUGAAGAAGCAGGCAUCUUGUAUGAGUGACCUCACUGCCCAGUGUAACUGGUUGUAGAGAAGUCUCAGUGGAAGGCUGGCCAGACCACCAGCCAGCAAUGGUGGUGCCUGUGGUUGGGCUCCAGUAUCCAGAACUAUGGUUAUAGUUCCAUUGCCACCACCUCAGAGAAGCCUUCCUUGACCACCUCAACAAAGCAGCACUCCCCUAUCAGAAGGAAAAAGCAUAACUUUACAGUGGAGAAAUUUGUCAGACAGCAUUUUAACCAACGAUCAAAGUGAACAUCAUCAGUAUUUGAGGCAGGCUGACAAGCUGAAAUUGGGUGCCACCUGAUAUGAUGCACUGAGAAGAACGCAGCGCCGCUCUUGCGAUGGUGAUGCAUAACCCGAAUCUGGUCAAGAUGAAACAAAUAGAGGGAGAGUCUGCAAAUUAGCUGGCCCGUCCCCCGACGCCCCAUUGGGCGGGCCGCCCGUCACUCGCCGCGCA
rnacentral:lncRNA from 1 species